rnacentral:sRNA from 1 species
CUAAUGAUGAGGCUAGAGAGAAC